UUUCGCAAUGGUGCUUUCAAAAGAACACCAUAUCCCACAAUUCAAAGCCGCUCGUUACCAACGCAACAAUGGCGGCUUCCCCCGCUAGUGUGGAGAGUGUAAUAAGACCAUUAGGCAGCUGUUUAACUAAACUAGGGUUUGAAGUGUACCCUCUAAAGGUAGGCUGGUAUAACUCAGUGCUGCCUCCUUCCCUUCACCUGCCUUACCCAGAUGAUACCUUGGCCGUGGUGGUGCUCAGCACUCCUGCUAUGUUUGAACAAGCCUUCCUGCCCUUCUUGGAGCAGAGGGGCAUUCAGAAGCUAUGUGACCCUGUAGACCAAUGUGUUCGGGACUGUGUCUCCACUGCUGUCUCACAGGUUAGAGUAGAAUGUUUUUCAGAACUGAAGGUGGAUGUAAGAUAUGACUAUGAACUGCUGCCAAGCAGGAAGCCAAAGUUCUUGGCACAGACUGCUGCACACGUAUCUGGAGCGGCUUUCUACUACCAACAGUCUGACGUCACAGACCAACCCUGGGCUGGAAAAAAGAUGUUCGGAGUGUGCAUUCACCCGAGCUUCGGGGGCUGGUUUGCUAUCAGGGCCCUGCUGGUGUUUGAGGAUGUGACGGUGGGCUCUGAGCUAGUGCAGCCCGCUCCUCCGGACUGCGUUCCUUCCAGAGAAGACAGAAUCAAGCUGCUGGAGGCUUUCAACUUUCGCUGGCAGGACUGGAGCUACCGAGACACCGUCCCUCCAGCGCAGACCUACUCAGAGAGACAGAAAGAGUACUUCUCCACUGCCCCGGCUCUGCGUCUCGCUCUGCUCAGGACUUGGGGCCUCCUGCCAGAGGAAGAGGUUCAACCUGAUCUCAGCCCAGACGAACAGAGCCAGGCGAACGGACACGGCUGACAUCGCCUCUCAUUCUGGGCCUAAACCUCUGCUGCUUGACUUACAUCUAAUUUGUUUUCAUCGAUCCCCACGGCUGACCAGCGGAGCUUGAGGCCGGUGAUUUCUAAGCUCCUAAGGUUCCGUUGAAGGAUCUGUGGCCCCGCAGUCACCGCGCCAACCGCAAACUCCUCUGUACCCCGAAGUAAUCUGGCGUAGAAUGUGAUGCCAUCGGUCCGACAGCUGUGGUUUGACCUAAGCUGGGUCAUUAACAGGGCGGGGAUCCCACGCACAGCAACAAAUCUACAUACGCAAACUCAACCUAAUUGAAUCUGUGACUGGACCUUAAGUGAGCCGUGGAGAAACAAAAGUCUCCUAAUAUCUAUAAACUGAAGCAAAAAAAGAAGAGCGGGAAAUAAUUCCUCUAUGUGGGAGGCCGAUAAUUGAGAUUUACUGUUGAGAGUUAUCACUACUUAAGGUUGUCCUACAAGCUGUUAAAGCAAGGGGUUCACUUUUUUCAGGCCCUGUCUUUCAGUUGUUUAACUUUUAUUCAAUGAAUAAUGAUAGUCCAUGUGAGACCAGAUAUUUUUUUUAUCUGUCCUGAAAUCCAAAAUCUAAAAUUUUAGUGGAUGCACUUUCUUUUUACCAUGACUCUAGAUGCCAAAGCAUAAUUUCCUAAAGCAGAUUGCUCUGCUUAUUACAUCAAACCUCAAGUUCUGUAGUUGAGGAGGAAGACACGCUGAUAUCAUUAUUUUUUUUUUACCUCAGGUGAUCAAGACAACCGAAGAAGCAACAUUGAUGAGAAAAAUGUUUUUAAAUGUACGUUGCUUGGUACAGUUUGACCGUAAAUACAGAGCAUAAAUGGCCUUUUUUUUUGUUUUGCUUUUUUUUAGCCCAGAUUGCAACAAAACAAUGCAAAUACAUUUGUGGUUCUGAUAAAACCCAAAUCUGUGUCAAAAUCCCUUAUAAACGUAACUUGACAAAACUGUUUUUGACCUCUGUUGUGUAAUCAGAAAGGAAUAUUCAUUAAAAAAAUCAAAAAGGCCACCCUCUCAUUGUAAUGCAAAAACAGAACAAAAGAGCAAAGUGUACCAGAGUCAAAUUCCUUGUUUGUAUGCACGAACUUGGCAAUAAAGCUGAUUCUGAUUCUGAUCUCGCUCCUGUAUUGUCUCAGGUUUAACUGACAGUCAGUUUGAUGCAUUAUAGAUGUGGGCUCCCUUUGGUCCUCCAGGCUGGUGACAGACUGACAACUUUAAACUGUGACUGACCCCUCAUGUUGCACCCAACAGGAUGCAAUAUUGGUUCUAGUCUCAAACAUGCAGUUUUCCAGCUGUACUCGCUUAGAUUUGGUUAUUAACAGCAGCUUUAAAGAGCUGCCCUCUGCACUGUGACGAGGGAGUGUUCUGCAGUCACUUUCAUACACACACCGCUAGGUGUCAGUGUUGUGCUCUUUUAAUGCAGGCUUGGAGCUUGUGCGGCUGUUUCUGAAGUAUCUGGAGAAUGUUCAAUGCUUGAUGAAGUCCAGAGCACCCUGCAGAUAACCUGCCAUGCACUUUAUACCAAGGUGUACUUCUUUAACACCGUGGAUCUGUAACUGUGUCUUCUUUAUUUAGAUAACUUUGACUCUUAUUAUUUUUGAGCUUUGUAGGUGUAGGUUUCAUUGCAACACCUCUCUCCAUUCCUUAACGCCUCAUUGCAUUUCUUUCUAUACACCCCCCACCCUUCUGUCUCCUGUACUGCUUGAUCUAUCUGUCUACUGAAUCAGCAUUUUAUAGCAGUAUGCCGCAGGCCUGCAGCGAGCCAGACCAUGGACUUAAUUAUUUUCCCACAGAUUCUCAAUCUCCUUUCCUUUCUUGCCCCAUUCCCAGUCUUUCCUCACUCCUCAUUCUGUCUCUCUUUGGAGCUGGAGUUUGAUUUAUACUCUUACAUUGCAUUCUGGGGAAAUGAACAAUAUUCAUCUGAUUUAGCUUUUCAUUAGUAGUUUUAUAGGAAGUAAAGGUCUAAUUUCAGUUACAGCUGCCAUAGUUCUACACUGAAACUGUCUGCAGUGGAAGCCAUAGUCUGACUGCAAUUUAGCACAUUUAAAGCAAUCAUGGAGUUUCCCUUUCAUUCUUGUUUUUCAGUCUCUCUCCAAUUUGACUGUUUUGAGCAACUGAAGGACUAUUUUUCUGCACUUGGAAGAUUUCCUCUGAUGUUUUACUCCUUUUAAAGAGAAGAUUGUUUUGAACCAGCAGCAGGUUUUAUGUAUGCAAAAAUAAAUAAAAAACAAACAGACUAAGGAAUUUCAAGUGCCUUGCAGAGGUUUUCACACAUUUGAUCUUUUUAAUAUUUUGUCUGAUCAGAACCACAAACUUCAAAAAAAUAGCCCAAAGUAGCUGUAAUUGUGAAGUGGAAGAUUUUUUUUAUUAUUAUUUUUUUUUUAAGGCCACUUAGAAGCUACUGCUGCCAUUUACUCUUUACUUUUUCUUUAACAUAGAAAGUACUCCUGGACCAGUGCUAUAUUUUUUGUUUGCGCUGUUCUUUCAAACCCCCAGUUGGUCGUGGCAGAUGGCCGCUCACACAGAGGCUGGUUCUGCUGGAGGUUUCUCCCUGUUAAAGGGGAGUUUUCCUCUUUACUGUCGUUAAAUGUAUGCUCGGUAUGAGGGAUUGCUGCGAUGUCAUUGACUCAAUGCAAUCUACUUGUCCACUUGCUUGUUCAGGAGAGAAUGCUGCAAAUGAGUGACUUGAGGCAAUCAGCUGGGUUUCCUUAAGAGAGAAAACUUUCUAUCAGUAGGAAUAAACUGAACUUGACUGUGCUGAAUAACAAUUAGCAUCAAAUUUGAAUCUAUGUAACUGACUUUGACUCUGGUUAUAUGAUUGGAUUAACUGACUACACAUUUCUGUGUAUAAAUUGGAUCUUUUUUGUAAAGUGCCUUAUAUAAAUAAACUGAACUGAACAGAA